rnacentral:rRNA from 1 species
GACGAACGCUGGCGGCGUGCUUAACACAUGCAAGUCGAACGGAAAGGCCCUGCUUUUGUGGGGUGCUCGAGUGGCGAAGGGGUGAGUAACACGUGAGUAACCUGCCCUUGACUUUGGGGUAACUUCAGGAAACUGGGGUUAAUACCGGAUAGGAGCUCCUGCUGCAUGGUGGGGGUUGGAAAGUUUCGGCGGUUGGGGAUGGACUCGCGGCUUAUGAGCUUGUUGGUGGGGUAGUGGAUUACCAAGGAUUUGACGGGUAGCCGGCAUGGGAGGGUGACCGGCCACAUUAGGCCUGAGGUAGGGCCCAGACUCCUACGGUAGGCAGCAGUGGGGAAUAUUGCACAGUGGGCGCAAGCCUGAUGCAGCAACGCCGCGUGCGGGAUGACGGCCUUCGGGUUGUAAACCGCUUUCGCCUGUGACGAAGCGUGUGUGACGGUAAUGGGUAAAGAAGCACCGGCUAACUACGUG